rnacentral:rRNA from 1 species
AGUGAACGCUGGCGGUAGGCCUAACACAUGCCAGUCGAACGGCAGCACAGUAAGAGCUUGCUCUUACGGGUGGCGAGUGGCGGACGGGUGAGGAAUACAUCGGAAUCUACUUUUUCGUGGGGGAUAACGUAGGGAAACUUACGCUAAUACCGCAUACGCCCUACGGGUGAAAGCAGGGGAUCUUCGGACCUUGCGCGAUUGAAUGAGCCGAUGUCGGAUUAGCUAGUUGGCGGGGUAAAGGCCCACCAAGGCGACGAUCGGUAGCUGGACUGAGAGGAUGGUCGGCCACACUGGAACUGGAACACGGUCCAGACUCCUACGGGAGGCAGCAGUGGGGAAUAUUGGACAAUGGGCGCAAGCCUGAUCCAGCCAUCCCGCGUGGGUGAAGAAGGCCUUCGGGUUGUAAAGCCCUUUUGUUGGGAAAGAAAAGCAGCAGGUUAAUACCCCGCUGUUCUGACGGUACCCAAAGAAUAAGCACCGGCUAACUUCGUG